rnacentral:rRNA from 1 species
UGGGGAAUUUUGGACAAUGGGGGGAACCCUGAUCCAGCAACGCCGCGUGAAUGAAGAAGGCCUUAGGGUUGUAAAGUUCUUUUGUCAGGGAAGAAAGUUUCUGUGCUAAUACCAUAGAACGAUGACGGUACCUGAAGAAUAAGCACCGGCUAACUACGUGCCAGCAGCCGCGGUAAUACGUAGGGUGCAAGCGUUAAUCGGAAUUACUGGGCGUAAAGCGUGCGCAGGCGGAUAUGUAAGUUAGAAGUGAAAUCCCCGGGCUCAACCUGGGAACUGCUUUUAAGACUGCGUAUCUAGAGUUUGUCAGAGGGGGGUGGAAUUCCAAGUGUAGCAGUGAAAUGCGUAGAGAUUUGGAGGAACACCGAUGGCGAAGGCAGCCCCCUGG